UCUAUUUUGAUCACUACUGUAGUGUUUAUAUCUGAACUAUAAACUUUUAUAUACUUCUGUGAUAUUUUUAAUUAUUGUAAGACAGAAAUAAUGAUCCGCUUACCUGAAACCCUCCGUAACUGGCAGAUUUAAAGAAAAUUACCGUUGUUUGGUAAAUAAAUAAAUGAUGGACCGUUACAUAUGUAUUACCAACAUUUUAUCGUGAUCAUAUGGUACACAUCAAAUAAAGGAAUUUAUAGUUAAUAUUAAUUAGCAAGUCCACAGACUCAUUCUCUCCAAUGGCUUGGGUAUACAAAGCGUUCACAGCUUAUAUGGACAGCAUGUCCUGUCUUAUUUACAUUAAACGUGAAGAUAUAUAUUCACAAAUAUUCUGCCUGUUUUCAUGUGUGUGAUUGUCAGCUUCUGCUUUUCCGCUACACAUGAAGCUGCCUUGUGAGUGUAUAACGCACCGUGCCAUUACUUUCAUUUUCAAAUCCUGUAAUAUUCCCAAUGCAGAAGGGUCUUUCAGCUCCCUGGACUUCACACUCAGGGCUCAUUACGAGUCCAGUAGAAACACCGACCAAACAUCCCAUCAACCUCAGCACUUGCCUCAAGGUCAGGUCAGGGACACUUCUCUUUCACAAGGCCAGCGUCAUCUGAAUCUGAGCUCAAAACACCAGGCCCGUGCAAGCUGAACUUGGACGAGAGCAAUAAACAGUGCAGAAGUACAAGAUGGAAAGCCAGUUCCCAAAAGUGUUGUAGUGGUAAGGUUUUCUGAAGCUGAGGCCAGAAACUUCAAGCUGACCUAAGGACUACAGAAUCCCCUGUCUUGCUGGAUUCAAACUGGAAUGAAAUAAUGGAUUCUGAAGGAACACACUCUGGACUCUGCAGUGUUGUAUAGGAUGGACAGGUCAGGAAACUGCUGAUAAAGGAUUGCUCUGCAUAUUCAGUCCUCUUCUGUUAAGAAUGGGUAGAUGCCAAAUGUUGAUGUUGUGGUCAGUUAGGAUUCCAAAAUCUGAUUGCUAAUAAUUUCAGGAAUUCCUGGAAUUCUGUGGGUGUUCCAUGAGUCCACUAUUCUUCUCAAACACAAAUCUGGAUCAGACACACAGUAGCGAAUGGUGGUGUCCUCCAUGACUAUCAUUUCCUGGUCAGUCAGCUGAAUCAAUGCCUUCUAGAGAUUAAUUCAUGACAAGAAACAAUAGAAUCCUCUGAAUUAUACACCAUUUAUUUCUAAUGGGAUAACUGAGUGCAACUGCCAUGCAACUGAUAUAGGGAUCAGAGAAUCAGUGAGCGAGUGAGAGAUUUCAAACACAGAAACAGUCAACAAUGAGAGUGGAUUCCUGUGCUGGAGUCGAGCCCAACUCUAUGACUAUUCAGAGUCCAGGAAUCUACUCUUUUGUAGUCGACUCCUCAUCACUAUCUGACUAGUACAGAUACUUCAAGUGUGUUCAUUCCAGACUGCUUCACAUCAACAUCCCAUAAAACCUUGAAACUGUGAUAUUCCUCCGAUCUCUUAUUCAUGAAGACAAACAUGCCACAUUCUGUGAAACCCACAAUCAGAAGAUUAAACUACAGUAACAAGGAAAUAA